UACGAAGGGGGCUAGCGUUGCUCGGAAUCACUGGGCAUAAAGGGCGCGUAGGCGGCUCCAAAAGUCAGGGGUGAAAUCCGGCAGCUUAACUGUCGCAGUGCCUUUGAUACUGUGGAGCUAGAGGGAGGUAGGGGUCUGUGGAACUUCCGGUGGAGCGGUGAAAUGCGUUGAUAUCAGGAGGAACACCGGUGGCGAAGGCGGGUCUCUGGGCCGAUACUGACGCUGAGGAGCGAAAGCGUGGGGAGCGAACAGG
rnacentral:rRNA from 1 species